AGUGAACGCUGGCGGUAGGCCUAACACAUGCAAGUCGAACGGCAGCACAGUAAGAGCUUGCUCUUACGGGUGGCGAGUGGCGGACGGGUGAGGAAUACACCGGAAUCUACUUUUUCGUGGGGGAUAACGUAGGAAAACUUACGCUAAUACCUCAUACGACCUGCGGGUGAAAGCAGGGGAUCUUCGGACCUUGCGCGAUUGAAUGAGUCGAUGUCGGAUUAGCUAGUUGGCGGGGUAAAGGCCCACCAAGGCGACGAUCCGUAGCUGGUCUGAGAGGAUGAUCAGCCACACUGGAACUGAGACACGGUCCAGACUCCUACGGGAGGCAGCAGUGGGGAAUAUUGGACAAUGGGCGCAAGCCUGAUCCAGCCAUACCGCGUGGGUGAAGGAGGCCUUCGGGUUGUAAAGCCCUUUUGUUGGGAAAGAAAAGCAGCAAGUUAAUACCCCGCUGUUCUGACGGUACCCAAAGAAUAAGCACCGGCUAACUUCGUG
rnacentral:rRNA from 1 species